rnacentral:piRNA from 1 species
UUCGAACGAUAUGUUGUUUUUCGGCGC